rnacentral:tRNA from 1 species
GCCUGGGUGGCUCAGUCAGUUGAGCGUCUGACUCCUGAUUUAGGCUCAGAUCAUGAUCCCAGGGUUGUGGGAUUGAGCCCCACACUGGGCU